AUUUGCGAGCUUGCUUGCGAACUUUGUUCGGAUUUCAUAACGAAUUUCGAUAAUUUGAUGCGAAACUUCCGAAUUUGAUUGGCCGGUUUCCAAUCAACUUGAUGAUCUCGUGUUUAUAGUUCCCAAAUUCCCAACCAACCUCGCAACUGGCGCGGCCAAAGUUUCGUGAAAUCAACUGUAAUAGUCCUUAGGGACUGGUCAUAAAGUAACUGCUAGGGUGGGCUGGAAGAAAAUCACAAAUUUUGCCAAUAAGUUCGGUGACCCAUCUUAGGAUGUAGAUUAAAAUUUCAAAGCCCAUCUAAUCUUACAAAAAAAUUUUCAUGACCCACCCAAUCUAAAUUGGGAAAAUACACUUUUAUAAUAAAAAAAAACUUGCGGGUAUGAACAUUGUAAAUAUACACGGCAUGCACUGUAUUGACAUACUUAAUUCCACCAAGCUUGACCAACACGUUGAUUCUGAGCUGCUCUCCAGUUGGUUGUAUUUGCUGUGAUUCGACCACUUCUUGUUGUUGUAUAAACAAAGUACUGGCUUCAAUAGCACCAUUUGCAUUUGAUAAUUUGGAUAGUUUUUUUACUUUUAUUAUUAAUAUCUUUAUUUUUUGAAGUAGACAUGCAUGGGUUUUUGUUUGGUGGCCCAACCGUGGACAUACAAAAAAAUUGGCGGCCCAUCAAAACUGCCCAAAGAAUUUCCAUGGCCCAUCCCAAAUCACUCCAGCCCACCCUAGCAGUUACUUUAUGACCGGUCCCUUAAUUAUUGAAUUUUUUCGUAUUGCGUAUUUGAAAUUAGUGCCGGGCGGAAGGAUCCAUUUGGGUGUUAGUGCCGAGCGCCACUGUCUGUAUGCCGGGUGUCGCCAUCGCCACUUGUGAGCAUAUAACCCUGAAAUAACGUUAAGAAAAUUAUACUUUAUUGCUUGUACAAUAUACUAUUAUUGUAUAAUGCGUGCGUCCUUUUUUUGUAGACUAAAGUUUUACCAGGCAGCUGUUCGGCAGCUGUUCUUCAACAAUUCUCUUCUGGAGAACUUAAAUUUGAACUAAAUUUCCGAUGUUUGCCAAUUUUAAAGCCGUAAAAUAGAAGCUCAGUCAGUGCUUUUGUUGUGAUUGACGAUGCUGUAAAUUUAUAAAUGUUUCUUUCUUUAGCUUGUGAAGGAAGUGGAAUACCAAGUUUCGUUCAUGCAAUCCGUGCAGAACUAUGUUGAGAUUAUGCUUGAAAGUUUGGAAGAAACAGAACUUGAUCAUGAAAACGAUCUUGAAAGUAUCCAUAGUUAGUAAUCAAAGAUCUAUGUUAUAACUGCAGAACAAUGGGGGAGGUAUAGAAAUGUGGGAUAGAAUGACAAUCAGAGUCGUGGUCUGAUAUUUAUUGGAGAGCAAACGACUCGCUUUCUGAUUUUUGUGUUCAGCAUGCUUUUUGUAUAAAUAUGAUUUCUAGAGAUAAUAGAUGUUAUAGUUCAAAGGAGAAAGCGUAUAGGCUUUGGUCUGUGGUUUGUAAUUUGUUUAUUUGGCCGGGUAAGCGUAAAGUAGUUUCAAAAUAAUGAGUUCGGAAUGAGAACCUUUUCGAUAUACAUUGAGCUAAGGUCUGUAUCUGAGUUGUGUGCCUAUCGCAACAGUUUUAUACACUUUGGUUUUGGAGCCACAUUUAUGUAUUUGCUGAAGUAGCUGCAGAAAGCAGAGAGGGUGUAGUCGCAACGCAGAUAAAAACCCUUUUAUGCCAUCACUAUACUGAAUCUCCUAGUUACAAUCGCUUGGAAAAUAUUUGCGUUCACGAGAAUGUUCCAGAACCUCAACGGUCUGUGCCAGUGUAGGUAACAAGAAAGCUUCGGAUUGAUUGGGAUACAUGGGGAUACAACCGUACCUGAAAGAUACAAGGAGAACUUCGCCGUUUCGACCGAAGGCGUUUCGUCGGGUUAGCACUAUUUUCCAUCCAGCAAACCGCCCUAUCGAUUUUCUAAAGUCGUUUCUUUUUGGAUAUUUUUAUUAAUUCGGUUACGGUUAGAGUUAGGGUUGCGGUUAGGGUUAGGGGUUAGUUACACAGCCAUUUAACACCUCUUCCAUCUUCCAAAAAUGACGUCAGGUCAGUUUGCUGGAUGGAAAAUAGUGCUAACCGUUUCGUCGCGACGUAAAACACAAAGGCAUUAAUCAGUGCAGAUAAUAUAUACUCAUGGAAUCAAACUACUGAUAGUCUGAUAACACUUGUUUGGCGUAAACAGUGAACGUACAGGCAAUAUUUCGUCAAACAAAAAAAAGCUAUACCGGUAUAGUUCAAGAACAUCGGUUUGAUAAGUCGGGAAGGGCCUGAAGAAGUAACUGACGUCUUAGCUCGAAACGUCGAAGUUCUCCUUGUAUUUUUCAGGUAGUUAUAUCCCUAUAUCAAACCGAUGUUCUUGAACUAUGUAGCUUUUUUUGUUUGACGAAAUAUUGCCUGUACGUUCUCUGUUUACGCAAAACAAGUGUUAUCAGUGGAUUGAUUUCAUGAGUAUGUAUUAUCUGCACUGAUUAAUAUCUUCUGGGUUUUGCAUAUCGAAAGAUAUGUCUAAAUAACAUGUUAUUGGAACCAUGGGAUACAAUGGAGUUAGCAAAACAAUUCUGAGAAAUUUAAAAUACAUUCCCACGUGUACUGUUUCAAGAUUUUGUUGUAUCAAUACCGUC
rnacentral:lncRNA from 1 species